rnacentral:sRNA from 1 species
GAGUUCACCGGGUCGUGUAGGAUGAAGAACCGUAGAGGUUCGAGCAUCGCGCAGCGAUACGACAACGCGCAGCGAUACGACAACGCGCAGCGUUGCCCGCAGGGUGAGGCCACAGGCCGAAUCAAUCCUGCACGACCCACCA